AUUGAACGCUGGCGGCAUGCCUAACAUAUGCAAGUCGCACGCGAAAGGGGGCAACCCUGAGUAGAGUGGCGGACGGGUGAGUAACGCGUAGGAAUCUGCCUGGUAGUGGGGGACAACCCGGUGAAAACCGGGCUAAUACCGCAUACGAUCCACGGAUGAAAGCAGGGGACCGCAAGGCCUUGCGCUAUCAGAUGAGCCUGCGUCGGAUUAGCUAGUUGGUGGGGUAAAGGCCCACCAAGACGACGAUCCGUAGCUGGUUUGAGAGAACGACCAGCCACACUGGGACUGAGACACGGCCCAGACUCCUACGGGAGGCAGCAGUGGGGAAUAUUGGACAAUGGGGGCAACCCUGAUCCAGCAAUGCCGCGUGUGUGAAGAAGGCCUUCGGGUUGUAAAGCACUUUCGGUGGGGACAAACAAGGUGGAGCUAACAUCUCCGCCUCUGAUGGUACCCAAAGAAGAAGCACCGGCUAACUCUGUGCCAGCCGCCGCCGUAA
rnacentral:rRNA from 1 species